UUAAGAUGAUCCACCUGAGGAAGUACAAAUUUAUGAUUUUGUAGUUCAAACACCAUUUCAAUUGUUGAUUUAGUGGAAAUUGUUCCUAACUCCUGGAUUAGCAACAAUGAUUUGCUUCCAGAAUGCUUUGUAAUUUAGAAGUAGAGCAUUACAUGUACAGGAAAAUUAAAUCAGCUGGAUAAUUAGAACAACUAAGAAUGAAAAACAGUACAUCCAAGUGUGUGCUUCCAAGUCACCCAAGUGGCCAUCACUGGGGAUUGAUGGACACUCAGCUCCUCAGAUGCUGUAGGGUCAGCGUGUGCUGGGCUGUUGCACGUCUGGGACCGGAUGCAGCAGGUUCCUUGCUUGUGGCUGGUGGAGCCGGAAGAGGUUUGCAUGGACCAGUCGCUGUGUCUGUGGAGACUCAGGCGUGCUCACCUCCUCAUCUCAUCCCCUCUUAGAGGGGCUAGACAGCUGGAGUCUAUUUAACACAUUUUCGUCUGCUCAUUUUGAUAUAAUCUAGACGUUAACUGACUUAGAUGGAAACAGGAAGAGAUGGAUUUUGGUCAAAUGGAAAAGAUACUCCGUAGAGGCCCUGCACCAUGUGUUACAAAUACACAGCAUGAAAUCAACCUCAAGAACCUAUGUCUGGCCAUAGUCUAGAGCCACCCAUGGGAGAUGGGCCUCAGGAGCCUCCACACAUGUAAAUGCACCCUCAAGAGAAAUCUGCCUGCACCUGUCCCCCAAGGGAUGACCUUAUUUACAAAUAAAGUUUAAAAGCAGACAGUUGGGAACUGGAGCUGUGGUAAAGGCCUCUAGUUCAUCUCUUGUCUAAUGGCUACGAUGGCUUCCUCGGUGGCCCCCACCCUCCAGUCUCCUCUUCUAAGACUGCCUGUGCAAAGGUACAUUUCCAUCUUAAUUUGGCUGUUCCUUUACUGGACUUCUCAGUGCCAUGUCCGAACUCCUUCCAAGCUGUGCCUGAAGGGGAACAACUGGACUUCUAGCUCCAUCUCCUUAUCCACAAGAUGAACCAGGCAAGCCCUAUGAUUUGAAAUUAUCAUUCCUUCCAAAUCAACUGCACUUUCCCAUGGCAGAGCUUUACCUAGUAUUUCUGCCUAUAUGCUUCCCUCACCCCACAAUCCCUCCUGCCCCACCCUUCUCCAUAACCCAAGAUGUGGAUGAAAGGCUACUUUGCAAAGCUGGUCCCUCCUUUCUCUAUCGUCUAUAUCUCCUCACCCGUACAGGCUGAGAGCUACCUGGAGAGGGCUGGGCCUUGUCCACAGUCCUAGGGCAGGGCCUGAACUAUUGCUGGGGGGCCAGUUCAUAG